AGUCACUGACAUUAGAUACCCCUGUAGUCCAGGGUGUAAACGCUGCAGACUUGGUGUUGGAAGUCCUUUGGGGGCAUUCAGUGCCGGAGAGAAGUUGUUAAGUCUGCUACUUGGGAGUACGUCCGCAAGGAUGAAACUUAAAGGAAUUGGCGGGGGAGCACCGCAACGGGAGGAGCGUGCGGUUUAAUUGGAUUCAACACCGUAAACUCACCAGGGAAGACUGUUACAUGAAGGCCGAGAUGAAGACUCUGCUAGAUUUUCAG
rnacentral:rRNA from 1 species